GACGAACGCUGGCGGCGUGCUUAACACGUGCAAGUCGAACGGAAAGGCCCUGCUUUUGUGGGGUGCUCGAGUGGCGAACGGGUGAGUAACACGUGAGUAACCUGCCCUUGACUUUGGGAUAACUUCAGGAAACUGGGGCUAAUACCGGAUAGGAGCUCCUGCUGCAUGGUGGGGGUUGGAAAGUUUCGGCGGUUGGGGAUGGACUCGCGGCUUAUCAGCUUGUUGGUGGGUAGUGGCUUACCAAGGCUUUGACGGGUAGCCGGCCUGAGAGGGUGACCGGCCACAUUGGGACUGAGAUACGGCCCAGACUCCUACGGGAGGCAGCAGUGGGGAAUAUUGCACAAUGGGCGGAAGCCUGAUGCAGCAACGCCGCGUGCGGGAUGACGGCCUUCGGGUUGUAAACCGCUUUCGCCUGUGACGAAGCGUGAGUGACGGUAAUGGGUAAAGAAGCACCGGCUAACUACGUG
rnacentral:rRNA from 1 species